AUGGUUACCGACUCCUAUGGCGUCGACACAAAUUGGUAUGCGGAUACCGGCGCCACAAACCACAUCACAGGGGAGCUCGAGAAGCUGACGACCAGAGACAAGUAUCGUGGACAUGACCAAGUGCAUACUGCAAGCGGUUCUGGUAUGAAAAUCACUCACGUUGGUAGUUCAGUUGUCAAAACCCCCAUGAAAAAUCUGCAUCUAAAACGAGUCUUAUAUGUCCCUACAACAUCGAAAAAUCUUCUUUCAGUUCAUAGAUUUACUCUUGAUAAUCGUGUUCUUAUUGAAUUCUAUCCUUAUUUCUUUUUGGUAAAGGACUUGGACACGAGGAGAGUGCUUCUUAGGGGCAAGUGCGUGGGAGGUCUCUACCCACUUAUAUCUUCGUCAUCACCAUCAAAUAAACAGGCCUUUGUUGCUGUCAAGCCUUCUUCAGCAAAGUGGCACAGUAGAUUAGGCCAUCCUUCAUCAGCUAUUGUUAAAAUCGUUCUUAGCAAGAAUAAA
rnacentral:rRNA from 1 species